rnacentral:lncRNA from 1 species
GCUUGCCUUGAGGUGUGGACGAGGAGUUGAAGGGUGUGCCAACUCGCAGUUGGUCUUCAACAGGAGGGGUGCUGUUUUCAAUCUGGUGAGGGAUGACAGGGAUGGGGGGCCUAGUACCUCGGGACCAGGCAUGUGUGAGGUUCCAGCGGUGGACGGCACAUUUGAUCGGGAGGUUGGAUGCAUCGGGUGCGUUCGGGAUCAUUGAGUGGGCGUUUGGCUGAACAUGGGAGGGAUGUUGAGGGAGGGGCGUCGACGACAGCACUGGCGCGGGGGACCUUGUCAUCGGAUGUGGCUGUCGGCUGGAGCCGGUCGGGGCUGUUGUGCGAGCGGCGCGACCCGGGAGGAGGUGGAGUUGCGGAAGCUGUGGCAAUCUACAUGGGUAGAUCGGCGGAAGUUGAGCCGAUUAGUGGACUUGGCCCGACAACCAUUGGUGCCGCGUGGCGGUCUUGCACUGCGGGAUGGACAAUAGACAUUGUAUGUCCCUUUGUGUU